rnacentral:rRNA from 1 species
CAGUAGCCGCGGUAACACGUAGGGUGCGAGCGUUAAUCGGAAUUACUGGGCGUAAAGCGUGCGCAGGCGGUUUUGUAAGACAGGCGUGAAAUCCCCGGGCUCAACCUGGGAAUGGCGCUUGUGACUGCAAAGCUAGAGUGCGGCAGAGGGGGAUGGAAUUCCGCGUGUAGCAGUGAAAUGCGUAGAUAUGCGGAGGAACACCGAUGGCGAAGGCAAUCCCCUGGGCCUGCACUGACGCUCAUGCACGAAAGCGUGGGGAGCAAACAGGAUUAGAUACCCCCGUAGUCCCUGUCUCUUAUAC